rnacentral:tRNA from 1 species
AGUAGCUCAGUGGUAGAGCUAUCGGCUGUUAACCGAUCGGUCGUAGGUUCGAGUCCUACCUGCUAG